rnacentral:rRNA from 1 species
UACGGAGGAUGCGAGCGUUAUCCGGAUUUAUUGGGUUUAAAGGGUGCGUAGGCGGAUCGUUAAGUCAGUGGUCAAAUUGAGGGGCUCAACCCCUUCCCGCCAUUGAAACUGGCGAUCUUGAGUGGAAGAGAAGUAUGCGGAAUGCGUGGUGUAGCGGUGAAAUGCAUAGAUAUCACGCAGAACCCAGAUUGCGAAGGCAGCAUGCCGGCUUCCUACUGACGCUGAAGCACGAAAGCGUGGGGAUCGAACAGG